rnacentral:rRNA from 1 species
UACGUAGGGUGCGAGCGUUAAUCGGAAUUACUGGGCGUAAAGCGUGCGCAGGCGGUUUUGUAAGCCAGAUGUGAAAUCCCCGGGCUUAACCUGGGAACGGCAUUUGUGACUGCAUAGCUGGAGUACGGCAGAGGGGGAUGGAAUUCCGCGUGUAGCAGUGAAAUGCGUAGAUAUGCGGAGGAACACCGAUGGCGAAGGCAGUCCCCUGGGCCUGUACUGACGCUCAUGCACGAAAGCGUGGGGAGCAAACAGG